CUCUUGUCCUCCUGCAGGGGGCAGUGCAGCGUAGCUUCUGUCCAUGGUGCUGAAGAUUCGGCUGGAUCUGUCCGCGGUGCUGAACAGCUCAGGGGUGUUAGCUCAGUUUGGGGCUGCUGUCAUACGGAUUAAGUCCCUGCUGUUGCUGCUGUGUUCUGGUGUUGUUUUGUGGCUGUGUUACAGUUAACGUCUAUCUGCCAGCCCAGAGAUGUCGGAGCGGAGGGGGAGGGGAGGGCAGUAAGGAAAUGAGUUUGAAGAUCAGACAUUGAGUCAACGGUGGACCAGGGCAGAUCAGAGAUCAGAUCAGAGAGGACAAGCGUCAAAAUCAAAAUGAACCAAGACAUAACAGAGACUCGAACACGAACCCGCUCCAAAAGCACUCGAGGUCAG